rnacentral:rRNA from 1 species
CAGUCGCCGCGGUAAUACGUAGGGUGCAAGCGUUAAUCGGAAUUACUGGGCGUAAAGCGUGCGCAGGCGGUGUUGUAAGACUGAUGUGAAAUCCCCGGGCUCAACCUGGGAACUGCAUUAGUGACUGCAACGCUGGAGUGCGGCAGAGGGGGAUGGAAUUCCGCGUGUAGCAGUGAAAUGCGUAGAUAUGCGGAGGAACACCGAUGGCGAAGGCAAUCCCCUGGGCCUGCACUGACGCUCAUGCACGAAAGCGUGGGGAGCAAACAGGAUUAGAUACCCCCGUAGUCCCUGUCUCUUAUAC